CCCCCCCCCCUCUCUCUCUCUCUUUCUCUCUCUCUCUCUCUCUCUUUCAGGAUUACCACCUAAGCUGCUUCCCUCUACCACACACUUGGCCAUGAUGUUCUGCUUCACCUUGAACCCCAAGGAAUGGAGCCAAUCUUCUCCAGACUAAGACCUCUGAAACCGUAAGCGCUCAGCUAAACUUUUCCUCCCCUACAGUUGUACUGCUCAGAUUCUUUAGACACUGCUGCGAAAAAGUUGACUAAAACAGUCACCUACCUACCAUGUUUCCAUUUAUCUGCCCUUGGACUGUGAUGACAGACAGAAACCAUCUUCUGUAUUAUCUGUGACACUAUUUUGGAGAUGACUCUUAAAUAGAGUUUAGCCCAUACCCUGUGCAAUAUGUUACCCUGUGUGCAGGGCAGUUAUUCUCAUGGCAGCUACCUGUGACAACUUUCAGUCCUGGAGGAUAUUGUCACUUUCUCCAGCAGGUGCAGUGGCUCCCAUCAGUGCACAAUAAGCAGCAGUGUUAAGAAACUCCAGCCAAUACCUGUGGCUGCACUAUUGUACAAAAGUAGCAACUGUGAACACUUUGAUAGCCAGGGCCAGCAGCUGCACCAGCUCUCACCGUUCUCAGCUGUGUCUUCUGUCAGCAGUUCUCACAGAGGUUUUCAAAGCUAUUCCUUUGUCAUAGGCAGCUAAGUGUUAUUCUCUCAGCAUCUAAAUGACUGUAUCUAGUGGUGUGUUACAAAUUUUUGACUCUAAAACAAACACGCUCCAGUUUGUUUGCUGAUUUCCAUGUGUAAGUAUUCUCAGCAUGGACAAUUUAAUGUUGUCAAUGCAAUAUCCCUAAAAGUGGAGUUGAGAAAUAUCCCACAUGCUUUUUUGUUCUAGUAGAAGCUGUCUGCAGCAUAGCACAGUCUUGACAAUAUUGUUUUUUGUUUUUUGCUUUUCUUUCUUGAUACAUACAUACUAUCCAAAUAUACCAGCUUAAAAGAAUUUAUUACUUGCUUACAAUUCUGUACAACAAUAUUGGCUGAGAUUUCUGGGUGGUUUCUCUGCUGUUGUUUCUUGGUAUCACUCAUCUAUCUUAUGGUUAUCAUCCGCUGGCAUUCCAAUAGAAUUUUUCAUUAAUUAAUUAAAAAAAAUUUUUUUCAAUCCACUCCAGGGAUUGAAACCAGGGGUGCUUUAUGAUGAGCCACAUCUGACCUCCAGCCCUUUUUAAUUUUAUUUUGAGACAGGAUCUUGCUAAGUUCCUGAGGCUGGCUUUGAACUCAUGAUCCUCUUGCCACAGCCUCCUGAGCCUCGGGAUUACAUGCAUGCAUGCAUUGAGCCCAUGCAGGACUCCAUAGAGGUUUGAUAGACUGACAUAGUCUUACUCAAAUAUCUAGCAAUUGGAGCUCACUGUAGCCUAGGAUACCUUGAAUCUCUUCCAUAUAGAUUCUCACAGUAUACUAAAUGCUUUUUUUUUUUUUUCACUUGGUGAAUUCAGGGAAGAUUCCAAGAGGAUGAUAGAAACACCUUCAGUGAUUUUUGAGUGUGCUUUGAUGUUCCAUAGUUUCUCUUCUUUCCUUCUACCAGUCAGCUCAAAUUCAAUGGAAUACAAGAUUUUAAUUAAACAACAGAGCAGUAAGUUGCAUUUUCCCCUUACAUCUAUAAGUCUGAUUAUGAUUUAAACACAAUUAUUUCAUCUCAUAUUCAUUAGGAUAAUAACAAGCACUGGUAAACAAGUGGAGAAAUGGGAAAAUGUAUACACUAAGAAUGUAUGCAGAUACAGUGGAAAACAAUAUGAUGGCUCCCCAAAAAAUUAAAAAUAGAAUUUCUAUAAGAUCCAGAAGUAGCAUCUCAAAGAGAUAUUUGUACCCCCCAAGUUAAUAGCAGCAUUGUUCAGAACAGCAUUGUUCCUAGCAGACAAAAGACAGGGAUAACCCAAACAUCCACCAAUGUAUGAAUAAACAAAAUAGUAUAGACAAUUCAAUGGAAUAAUAUUCUGCCUUAAAAAAAUAAAAUUCUGACAUAUGCUACAACAUGGGUGAAUAAGGGGACAUUAUGCUAAAUCAAAUAAUCUAGUCAUUGAAGGACUACUGUUAUAGGAUUUCACUUAUAUAUGAAGUACCUAGUGUAUUCAAAUUCAUAGAGACAGAAGGGAGAAAUGGUGUUUUUUCCCCAGGGUCAGAGACAAGGAAGAAUGGGAAGUUGUUGUUCAAUGGGUAUAAAGUUUUAGUUUUUCAAAAUGAAGAGAGUACUAGACAUUAAUAUUGUGAAUGUAUUUAAAACUACUAAGCUGUGUAUUUGAAAAUAGUUUAUAUGGCUAAUUUCAUGUUAUAUGUGUGUUACCACAAUUACAAAAAAAAAAAAAAGACUAGGCAUUUUUUAAGAGGUGAGAUCUCUGUCCCUACCAUGUGAGCCUAAGUGGGUUUUUGACUUACUUCAAGCAAAUAGAGUGAGUAAGAAGAACGAUUCAUAAAUUUGGAUAUUAUGACAGAGGAGGGUCAUAAUAUCCAAAUUUAUGCCUUAUUUAUGGGGAUGCUACCUUGUGGAGCUCUGAGUUGCCACAGAGAAAGUCCGACUACGUGUGGCCACCAUAGUGAGGUGAGAAAGCCUAAGACACAUGGAAAUAGUUCCAGCUGUGAGUCUCAGAAAACCAUCAGUAUCUACCAGACUGACAUAUAGUAAAGGUGCUUGGAUGAUUCUAGUCUCCAACUGUGAAGCCACACACAAUCCAUUAGGUCUUCCCAGCUGAGGCUCCAGAUAUUAUGGGACAAAGGCAAGUAAGCUGUUCUUACAAAGCCUUACAAAGUCCAGAUUCUGUGAGAUUGAUAAAAUGUGCUAAGCCCUUGAGUGUUUCUAAAUAACAGAUUUGUUAUGAUAUAAUUCACAUACCACAAAUUUCCAGCUUUAUGAAAUAUACAUUAUUGUUCUCUAUAUCCACCCUGUUUUACAAUAGCACAUGAGAACUUCUGACUAUAUCUAACUUUAAAUUAGUACCCAUUAAUGAACUAUUUUUAUCCAUUCCCCUCCCUGUUUCUCCCCAGCCUCUGGCAGCCACCAUUCUACUCUCAAUUUCUAUGAAAUCAUGUUUUUUUUUUCCUAUUUCACAUAUGCAUGAGACAAUGCAAUACUUGUCUUUCUAUGCCUGGCUUAUUAUGUUAAAUUAUUACUUAACAUAAUAAUUUCCAGUUCCAUCCAUGUUAUUACAAAUGACGGAUUACAUUUAUUUUUGUGGCUGAAUAGUACUCCAUUCUUAUACAUACCACAAUUUUUCUUUAUCUAUUCAUGAACUGAUGGACACUUAGGUAGUUUCCCUUUUUGGUUACUAUGAAUAGAGCUGAAAUAAAUACAGGAAUUAAAAUGUCUUUAUUAGAGCAUUAUAGUUAUACAUAAUAGUUAGGUUCAUUCUCAUAAAAUCAUGCAUGCAUUAAAUUUGAUUUACUCCUUUUCAGUCCCUGAUGACCUCCCUUUCCCUUCUGCUCCUUCCUUUCCCUAAUCUUCUUCCUCUACUCUGCUGAUCUUUCCUUAAUUCAUUUAUGUAUUUAUUUUUGAUUGGGACUUUAUACAUACACAUAAAGGUUAAAUCACUGUGGUAUAUUUAUAUAUGCACAUAGCAUGAUUUUGUUAAAUUCAUUCUGCAUUUCCUUCCUUUUCCCAUCCCUCUCCAUCUCCUUCUUCCAUUCUACUGAUCUUCCCUACAUCUUUAUGAUAUCCUAUUCCCACUUUCUCCUAAUCAUUUGUGCCAGCUUCCACAUAUGAAAGAAAACUUUUGAUCCAUGAUUUUAUGAGUCUGGUUUAUUUCACUUUGUAUGAUGUUUUACAUUUCCAUCCAUUUACUGGCAAAAGGCCAUAAUUUCACUCCUCUUUAUGGCUGAGUAAAACUCCAUUGUGUAUAUAUACCAUAUUUCCCUCCUUAACCUAUUCAUCUGUUGAUGAGCACCUGGGUUGGUUCUAAAAUCUGGCUGUUGUGAGUUGUGCUGUUAUAAACAUUGAUGUGGCUAUAUCACUAUAGUAUUCUGAUUUUAGUUCUUUUAUAUAAAAACCAAGGAGUAGAAUAUCUGGCUCAUAUGGUAUUUCUAUUUCUAGAUUUUUUUCUAUUUCUAACUUUUUUGAGCAAUCUCCAUACUGCUUUCCAGAAUGGUUGAACCUAUUUUAGUCCCACCAACAGUGUAAAAGUGUAUGUUUUACCCUACAUGCUCAUGAGCAUUUCUUGAUAAUUGCUAUUUUGACAGGAGUGAGAUGAAAUCUCAGUAUAGUUUCGACUUGCAUUUCCCUGAAUGCUAGAAAUGUUGAACUUUUUUUUUCUUUUAUUUGUUGGCCAUUUGUGAUUCUUCUUUUGAGAAACAUCUGCUUAUUUGUUUUACCCAUUUACUGGGUUAGUUUUUUCUUCUGUUGUUAAACUUUUUGAGGUCUUUAUGUAUUAUAGAUAUUAAUUCCUUGUCAGAGGAGUAGCUGGCAAAACUUUUCUCACGUUCUGUGAUCUCUCUCUCUCUUCAUACUCUUAAUGGUUUUCUUUGUUGUACAGAAAAUUUAAAUUUGAUUUUAUUCCACUUAUUCUUGGUUAACAAGGCUCUUAGGAGCCUUGUUAAAGAAGUGCUGAUAAGCUGAAGUUUCGACCUUAUGUUAUUUUCUAGCAGUUGCAAAAUUUAUGGUCUAACUCAAGUCUUUGAUUCACUUUGAAUUGGCUUUUGUGCAGAGUGAAAGACAGGAGUCUAAUUUCAUUCUUCUAUAUAUGAAUAUCCAGUUUCCCCAACACCGUUUGUUAAAAGGCUGUCUUUCCUCCAACAUACAUUUUUGGCACCUUUGUCAAGUAUCAAAUGAUUGCAAGUGUGGGGGUUUGUCUCUGUGUCUUAGAUUUUAUUCCAUUGGUCUUCAUGUCUGUCUUGAUGCCAAUAGCAUGCUAUUUUUGUUACCAUGGCUCUGCAGUAUAAUUUCAGAUCAGGUAUUGUGACACUUCCUGCAUUGCUGUUUUUGCUCAGUAUUGCUUUGUCUGUUUUAGUUCUCUUAUUCUUCCCAAUAAAUUUUAAGACUGUUCUUUUUUCCCCCCUAAUUCUGUGAAAAUGUCACUGGUAUUUUAGUGGGAGUUGCAUUGAAUCUGUACAUUACUUUUGGUAAUAUGGCAAUUUUGACAAUACUGAUUCUAAUUAUCCAUAAACAUGGGAGGUCUUCCCAUCUUCUAAAGUAUUCUUUAAUUUCUUUCUUCAAUGUUCUAUAAUUUUCAUUGUAGAUACUUUAUCAUUGGUUAGAUUAAUUCUCAAGGUUGCUUUUUUUUAAAGUUAUUGUGAAUGGGAUGGUUUUCCUGGUUUCUUUCUCAGCUGAAUCACUGAAGGAGUAUGGGAAAGUUAUUGAUUUAUGGGGGUUGAUCUUGUAAUCUUCUAUUUUGCUAAACUCAUUUAUCAACUGUAGAAUUCUGGUGGCUUUUUUAUUUUAGUACUUUAGAUACAAGAUCAUGUUAUCAUAAAACAGAAAAUUUGACUUCUUCUUUUCUUACUCUUAUUCUUUUAAUUUCCUUUGCUUUCCUUAUUGCUCUGGCUAGAGUUUUAAGAAUAGAAUAGAAGUGAUGAAUAGAAGUGAUGAAAAUGUACAUUCUUUUCUUUUCUCUAUGUUUAGAGAAAAGGAUUUUAAUUUUCUUCCAUUCAGUAUUUAUGUUGGCUUUGGAUUUUCCAUAUAUGGCUUUUAUAAUGUUGAGAUAAAUUCCUCUGUCCCUAGUUUCUCCAGCAUUUUUACUAUGAAUGGGUUCUGGAUAUUAUUGAAGGCUUUUUCUAUAUCUCUUGAGAUAAUUGUAUGAUUCUUGUCUUUAAUUCUAUUUAUGUGUUGAAUUACAUUUAUUGAUUUGAUUGUUGAACCAAGCUUGCAUCCCUGGGAUGAAACCAACCUGAUUGUGGUGUAUUAUCUUCUUGAUGAGUUUUUGAAUAUGGUUUGCAAAUAUUUUAUCAAGGUUUUUUUUUUGAAUCUGUUUAUCAAGAAUAUUGUUCUGAGGUUUUCUUUCCUUAAUGUGUCUUUAUUUGAUUUGAGUAUCAGGGUUAUGCUGGCUUUAUAAAAUACAUUUGAAAUUUUUCUUCAUUUUCAUGGAAUAUUUUGGAAAGAUGAAUGUUAGUUCUUUUGUAAGGAUCUGGUAGAAUUUAUGUGGAAAUUCAUCUGGUCUUGCAUUUUUCUUUUUUUGGCAGAUUUUCAUUGCUGUUUCAAUUUCAUUAUUUGACAUUGAUCUAUUUAGGUUUUCUAUAUCUCCCUGUUUCAGUUUGGGCAGUACACACAUGUCUUGAAAUUUGUCAAUAUCUUCUAGAUUUUCCAGUUUAUUGAUGUAUAAAUUUUCAAAAUAUGUUCUGAUGAUCCUCCGGAUUUCAGAUGUGUCUGUGGUGAUAUCUCCUUUUUCAUCAUGAUUUUAUUACUUUGAGUCUUCUCUCUCUUUCUUUUGGUUAAUUUGGUUAAGAGUUUAUUAUUAUUAUUAUUAUUAUUAUUAUUCAUCUUAUCAAAGAAGCAAGUCUUUGUUACAUUGAUCUUAAUUAUUUUCUGUUGUCUAGUGAUUUUUGAAUUAGUUUCUUCUUCUGAUUCUAAGGUCUUGAGGUGGAACAUAAGCUUAUUUAUUUGGGAUAUUUCCAUUUUUUUAAGGCACUCAAAGCUGUAAAAUUUUUCUCUGAGAACUGCUUUCAAACUGUCCCAGAGAUUUUGGUAUGUUAUAUUUCUGUUUUCAUUUCUAAGAACUUCUUCUCUCAUUUUUUUAUGCUUCAUUCUUUAUUUAAAAGAGUAUUGUUCAAUCUCCAUGUGUUUAUGUGGUUGCUGUUAUUUUUUCUUGCUGUCAAUUUUUAGUUUCACUCCAUUAUGAUUUAAUAGAAAGUACAGGAUUAUAUUGAUUACUUUAUAUUUGCUGAGACUUAAAUUGUGACUUAGAAUUUGGUCUAUUUUGGAAAAAGUUUCAUAAGUUUCUGAGAAGAAAGUAAAUUCAGCUUUUGGGGGUGAAAUAUUUGUAGAUGUCUGUUAGGUCCAUUCGAUUCAUAGUUUUAAUUAGGUUGUAAAUAUCUUCAUUGAUUUUUACGUUAGAUGAUCUGCAUAUUGGUGAUAAGUAUGUGUUGAAAUCACCUCAUAUUGGAGUCUGAGAUUUAGUAUUAAAAAGUUUGUGUGUGUAUAUGUGUGUGUGUGCGUGUGUGUGUGCGCUUAUGUGUGCAUUUUUUUUUCAUUUGUUUUGUUUUUAGUGUAGUUAGGUACACUGUCAUUUGGGGCAUAUAUAUUUACUAUCAUUAUAUCUUCUUGUUGCUAUUUCCUUUACCAGUAUGUAGUGGGCUUAUUUGCCUCUUUUGAUUAAUUUUUGCCUAAAGUCUGCUUUGUCAGAUAUGAGAAUGGUUAUUCCUGCUUGUUCUUAGAUUUAAUUUGCAUGAAGUAUUUUCCCCAUCCUUUUACUUUCAGUUUGUGGGUGUCUCCCUUACUGUGUGUUGAAACACUGUUGAGGCUUGAGUUGGGCGAGAUCAUGUUUGGAGUGAUAUUUUCUGUGAUUUGCCUGAGUUGUGGGUAUUGCUUGGCAGCAGGAUCUCUAUUCUGUGAAAAUGUCCCAAUCACUUUCCAGCCCCUCUUAGAGGAAGGAGGAAACCAGCAAUAGCACUAAUGAUAGCAACAGAUGUACAGCCUUAAGAUAAAUGUCCAGAGUUUACUUUGACAUCUAUAACACUAAUUUCUAUCUCUAUAGGAAUGAUGGGGUCAGCAUUUAAAAUCAACAUGAAGAAUAAACAACCAAAAACUAGAUCAUUUAUUAAGCAGCAGGUGUUUGCAACAUUAAUAAGCACAACAAAAAUGUGGGUAUAAAGUACAUAAAUUAUUUAAGAGUUAUAUAAUUAUCAUUUCUUAAAUGAAGAGAAAACAGGGUAGGAAGCAAGAGAAAGCUUGAAAUAUUUAAAAAGUGAAUGUAGGAGGGUUAGGAGAUAGGUAACAGAUGAUGGCUACAAAGAAGCAGGGGAAAAAUGUAACAAAAAAUAGUAACCUAAUGAAAGGAGGGAACAAGAAAAUCUAUCCUUUAGUGGGGAGAUUAAAGCAGGGCAUCAAGAAGAAUAAAACCUAAUAAUACAGAGACACAUAUAAGGUCUCCCGAUUUUGCUUGUGGUCAUGCUGUAUUUAUAAAUGUUUCCUGUGCUGGUGACCCUGGUUCUCACCCAGCUAUCUGCCCAGGGGCAGAGGGAUGUUGGUUGCUUUUCACUCAUCUACUUUCUCUACCAACUCUGGGUCCAUUCAUAUUAGCCUCCUGCUCUAUUCCACAGGUUCCCCCAAGGCAAAUUUUUUUAAUGGUGGUUUCCUCUCUUUUUCCUGCCCUUGUCCCCCCUUCCCUCAGAUGCCACUUCUGCCACUACCACCAGUUAAGCUGGCAUGUCUCUAAUGUGUUACUUCUUAUAUUAUACUUAAAGUUUGACUUUCUGUGUCUCUUUGGUUUCUUUUACCGUACAGUAUUAAAUUUAAUUGAGUUCCCUUAUUUACCUAACUAAGAAGAAACCUUCCUGCUUUUUAAGUCUGGAGCUAAGGAACUGCUGUGAAGUGUUCCUCUAAUCUGUGAUGUCCAGAUGUAUUUUCAGCAUACCAACUUCAUUUCCCAUAGAUAUACACCUAAUAGUGGGAUGAUACAGUAGUUGUAUUAUCCAAAACAUUUUUAGGAGCCUGCAUAUUAUUUUCCAUAAUAGGUAUUCUACUUUGCAUUCCCACCAAUAGUGUACAAGGGCUCCUUUUUCUCCAUACCCUUGCAGGCACUUGUUAUCUUUAGUCUUUUUGGUAAGAGACAUUAUGUAACGAUGUAAACUGAUAUCUCUUAUGAUUUUCAUUUGCAUUUCCCUGAAAAUUAGUGAUGUUGACCAGUUUUUUAUAUACCCAUUGACCAGUUAUAUCUUUUUUUGAGCAAUGUCUAUGUUGUUCUAUUGCCAAUUUUUAAUUGGAUUAUUUAUUUAUUUUUCUGUUAGAUUUUGGAGCCCCUUAUAUUAUUAUGAAUGUUAACCCUUUGUCAACAGCAUAGCUUGAAUAUAUUUUCUCUCAUACUAUAGGUUGUUUCUUCACUCUAUUUCUUUUGACAUGCAUAAGCCUUUAUAUUUUAUUGUAAUUUCAUUUGUCUACUUUGGAAUUGCAAAAAAUAAGUAUUAAGUAGCUUUAUAUAAAUAUUCCUUUUAUGUUUUCUAUAAAUUGUGAUAUAUACUAAAUAUAUAAUUUGUUUAAUGUGUAUUUUAUAUAUAUAUAAUUUAUCUAAUUUAUCCAAAAUUCCACAUAAUUGUCUUUAUCUUUGUAAUAAUCUUUAAAAACUCGAUAAUUUUGUCUAGCUCAACAAAAUGAGAUAACAUAUAAUCAAAAAUCAAAUUAUAUUUAUCCAAAUAGAUAAAAAAAUUUAGAGUAUUCUACUUGCUGUAGGGAUAUAGAACAUUAAUAAAAAUCUAUUGAAGUUAGUUGCUUAAAGAGUAUCUAUAAUUAAAGAGGCAGGUUUAAUUCUGUCCAUCUCCAGUAUAUGAAAAGUACUGUAAGUGUUAAUUAAUAACCUAUCUAAUGUCUAACUAAGGCAGCAGCAUCCCUUCAGUAAUUUCCCAGAUGCUCAAAGAUGGAUUAAGAGAGAGUGUUUCAUAACACUUGUGACAACAAUUUCUUUAUACUUCCUGUCAUGUGGAAUGUAAUAUCGGUAGUUAAAAUCAACAAUUCUGAAAACCUAGCAGAAAAUUUUAUUACUCUAGAAUUCCAGUGGGAAUAUAUUUCACUUUGCACAGAUAGUGAAUCUAAGAUUAAAAUUUUAUUUCAUGUAAUUCAAAUAAACUGUAUCAACUCAAUUAGAUGCACUUAAACCAAGUUUUAAGAUAAAAUACUUACUAAUUAAUUAAAACAGCUAUAUAAUUAAAUGGACAAUUCUGAAAUUAACAUAAAAUUUAAAAUAUCCUUUAGUACCAGGUAUAGACUACUUAUAAAAUAGUAUAAUAAAUUUAUAAUCAAUAUAAACAAAUAAAAUAUGAAAACAUGCAUAUGAAUAUCAAAUUACAAAUAGAUUUUCUAAGUGCUGGUCUAGUUUGUAUCAGUAGGAUUUUUAUUAUUUGCUCUAAUGACUUUAUGCAAAUUUUUAGUUACUUGCUGCUGAGAAUUUGGAUGAAUAUGGCACACAAAUACAUCUUGAAGAUUAUUUUUUGGCAAAAGUAUGAUCUCUGAAUUAAAUAAAUAGGGUUAUUUGGAAUAAAAUGCAAAGAACAUAUAUUUUAUCAGAUGAUAAUGUAUUUGGAUCCACUGAGGUGGUCAGAAAAGAUUCUCUUUUACUUAGUACCAUUUUCAUUUUUAAAAUUUAAAACCUCCUUUAUUCCAUCCCUCUUUUCCCGUCUCUUUCUCCUGGCAAUCAAGUCUGUUUUGUUGUCUCAGGAUUAUCUUCAUAGGUUAACUCCCCUAUAGUUGCUUGUGGUUGUUUUAUAUUGACUUCCCUUCAACUGAUGCAUUAACGUAAAAUUGUUGUGCAAAUAUAUUCAAAGCAAGAGUUCAAUAAUAUAUUUUUACUAUUAUGCAAAGCAGAAUAAGCCAAUCCCCCAAAACCAAAGUUCAAAUGUCCUCUCUAAUAUGUAGAUGCUAACACACAAUAAGGGAAUAGAGAAGGGGAGAGUAGAAGUUCGGUAGAUUAGAAAAAAAAGGAAUGAAAGGAAGGGGGAGAUAGGAAAGACAGUAGAAUAAAUCUUACUUAACUUUCCUUAUAUAAAUAAACAGCCAAUAUGGAAAGCAGUAUGGAGAUUCCUUGGAAAUCUGGGAAUGGAACCACCAUUUGACCCAGCUAUCCCUCUCCUCAGUCUAUACCCAAAGGACUUAAAAACGGUAUACUACAAGGACACAGCCACAUCAAUGUUUAUAGCAAUACAGAUCACAAUAGCUAAACUGUGGAGCCAACCUAGAUGCCCUUCAGUGGAUGAAUGGAUAAAAAAGAUGUGGCAUAUAUACACAAUAGAAUUUUACUCAGCCUUAAAAGAAUAAAAUCAAGGCAUUUGCAGGUAAAUGGAUGGCGCUGGAGAAGCUAAUACUAAGUGAAGUUAGCCAAUCCCCAAAAAACAAAUGUUGAAUGUUUUCUCUGAUAUAAGGAGGUUGAUUCAUAGUGAGGCAGGGAGGGGGAGCAUGGGAGGAAUAGAGGAACUCUAGAUAGGGCAGAGGGGUAGGAGGGAAAUGUAGGGGGCAGGGGGUUAGCAAGGAUGGUGGGAUGUGAUGGACAUCAUUAUCCAAAGUACAGGUAUGAAGACACAAUUGGUGUGAAUAUACUAUGUAUAUAACCAGAGAUAUGAAAAAUUGUGCUGUAUGUGUGUAAUAAGAAUUGUAAUACAUUCCACUGUCAUUUUUUUAAUUCAGUAAAAAUAAAUAAAUAAAUACAACAUAGUGUAUCUCUACAGUGAAUCAUGUACGACCACAAUGCUUGGAGUCUAAUUAGAAUAAGAUGUAUUCCGUGUUUGUAUAAAUGUGUCAAAAUAUACUGUCAGGUAUAACUAAAAAGAACAGAUAAAUAAAUAAUAUAAAUAAAUAAAUAAUAGCAAAUAAAUAAUAGUUAAGAUUAUAAUAAAAUAAUAGUAAAAAUAAAUAGUAAAUAAAUAAGUGGAUGAAUAACAAGUGAUAGUAAGAAAAAACUAACUUGUACUGAAAAUCUAAAUAAACUCAAAUGAUGAAACAAAAAGUGAGUUUAGUAAUAAAACCAGUACAUACCUAAAAAAAAAACACUGUAAGAUUGCCAGUCCAGCCUAUAAAGGAUGAGUAACAUGUACUAGUGGAUAAUAAGGCAAUACUUUGAAUUGCUGAGUGUACCCACAAUUGACUGCAAAUUAACAUUUGAGAAUCUGAAAUUGCAAUAUCAUUGAAUGAUUAGAGCACUUUAGGAUGAAAUGGGACUUACACAGGAGUAUAAGAUGAAAUGUCUUCCAUAAUAAUAUUAAGUACUGACUCUAAGUGGGUUGUAUCUCAGGUGGCUUCUUAGUCUAGCAGGGAUAGAGACUCUCAGUCAUGACUUCACAGUAGAACCAUCUGGAGAAAUUUUCAAAUGUGUUAUCGAGAUCCCUCUCAGAAUUCCAUGGGGCAAUUCACUCAAUUCCAUGAGUGAAUUUCAGGCACACAAUUUAUAGCAUCUAUUGGCUUUUGAGAUUAUCUAAAUAUAUUAGAUAAAUUAGUUUGUUAAACAUAUAUAAAACCUAUUAAGAUAUUUUAAGCAUAGGUAAGUAAUUAGAAAUUGACACUUUUCACUAAAGACAGAAUUUGUAGUAUGUCUAAAGUGUAAGUUCAGGAGAAACAUAGAUGCCUUAAGUAUAAUAGUUAGCAGGUACCAAGAAUGUCCUUAUACCAUGAGAAACAUAGGUAUUAAGUAUAUAUGAAACUAAAUACACAGAAAACACUUGAUAGUCAUAAUAUCUCAUUUUGUUCACACACUAGUGAUAUCCAUUGUAUUCCAUGUGUAUUUUGCCCUAAAAAUGUGAAUGAAAUCCAUGACAAUCUGUCAGGCUAAUUGUCAAACUACAGCUUUGGAUAGGUAUAAUUGUUUUUGUGUCUGUUCAGAAGUGCAAGACAAAGACCCCUUUAGUCUGUGAACCACAUUUCUCCAAACUUGAUACAGGUCCUUACAUCCACAUCCUCAGCAAAGAAAUCUUCUGUGGCAGAGAGAGAAAAAUGACAAAAGAACAUUAUGUUAAUUUUAGUUAAUGAAUGCUUCCUGCUUGUAUACAGUCCUGUUAACCCAUGCAUCUGUUUCCUCAUUUUUUCUCGCUGUAUGUCCUAAAUUUGAUUUGAUAACUAUGACAUUCAAGUAUUUUUAGAUGGUCUGUGAUGUUUCCAUCCUGUAACCUCUUAAACAUUUGCUCAGUUGCAUGCUUGGAAAAUGUCAUUGUAAAACAUAAUUUCCUGUAUGACAUAGUCAGUAUUUUUUAAAACAUUCCCCAAAUAGUUGUAAUAUUCAACAGAGUUUGAGAACCACCUAGAAUAAUGAAAAGAAAAGGAAAAUAACAGAUGAUAGAAGACUUUAGAAAAGAGGUUAAAGAUUUAUAUUUUGCUCUUUAGGAAAUCUGAAGUCUUUGAAUUAUAAAAGUAUAUCAUAAAAAUUAUACAACUUGAAGAUUGAUUUGAUGAUGGUAUGGAUGCAAGUGAGACUGGUUGUAAGAAUAUUAGCAGUCCAGUAAUAAAUUAGAAUUGUCAAAAUGAUUAUCGUGGUGAAAUGAACCUGAAAGAGCAUGGCAGUAUCCAAGUGAAAAGGAGAGGACUGAUGGAUCUUGAAAUCCAUUCACUACUCAAUCGAUACUGUGAAGGUAGUAUUAAACAGAUAGAUAUAAAAUAGACAAAAACAUUACAAGAAAAUAAAACUACAGAUCAAUAUUCCUGUCCAACAUAAAUUCAAAGAAGCUUUAACAAAAUUUGUAACAAAAUAUUAGCAGAUAAAAUCAGACAAUACCAUAUUUAAGACUAUACAAUGUACAAAAGCAGUUUAUGCCAAAAAAUGCAAGACUGAUUUAAUUUUAAAGAUUUUCUCAAUACUCCACUCUAUUAUCAGUUUUCAACAGUCCCUGACUAUUCUAGUUGUCUUGGGAUUAUUCCAGUUUUAACAGUCUUACUUUUUAAAACCCUUUCCCAGGAGAUGUAAAGUCUUUGUUUUUCAAUCAUAGGGCAAAAAGUUGGGGGAAAUGUAUAGAACUGCUGUCCCCAAGAUUGAGGCUGAAAGUAAACACAUUUCUUUUGUGUGUGUGUCAAAUGGAUAUUAGUUAAUUCACCUUCUGUUGUUGUGUUCUGUAGUUGUAUUGUAUCUCACCCUUUCUAAUUAUGUUGGCAAAUCCAAUUUGCUAUUCAUAAUAGUAAAUCAUUCAUUAUUGCAUCACACAAACUGAUGUGAUUCAAGUAUGUAAUUUAAUAAUAUGAGUGUUAGCAGUUAAUCUUUUGACUUUGCCCAGGGACUAACUGUUGUGAUUCUUAUCAAGAUAGUGCUACCUUAGCUCAGAAAACAUGGUUAUAAUGUUAAAAACUAAGAUAUCAAAAGUCCAAAUCCAGAAUGAGCCAGAUAUCACUGAAAGGGGGUCAGUCCAUCACUGCGUUAUUUGAAUAGAAGGAAACAUAUAACUGGCAUAAGGUGGCAAAUAACAGAGCUUACUAUACAACAUGCAAAAGCAAUUUGGGACUUGGACAUAGUGGAGAAGGGAAUGUGAAAGCUGCUUAAAAAUUCAGUCUUACAAUUCCAGUCAGAGGUAGGCAAAUACUUCUGAAUCCAGGAAAAAGUCUUUUGCUAUCUCCAAAUGAUACCAAUACUCAGAUGAAAAAAGUGACCAGUGAAUUUGUUUGGACAUACCACACAAAAAUUAUACUGGUCCUUAUAUUGCUUUAAGAAAUUCAAUAAAAAUACAUUUCCUUAUUCAGAAAUUGAAAUUAAAAUGUCCUGUGAAAGUACAAAAGAAAAAAUUUUCAAAACAGUUAUCUUCUAUCAAAUUUUAACCACGAUAAUGCUUUACAGAGAACACUGAGUGUUUCACUGACAACAACAAAAAUGUCCCUGUGAAACUGUGAUUUACAAUAAUGGAAUUUCAAAUCAUCUUAUUGAUUUCUAUGAAUAUUUAAGUAAAAUACAAGAAACACACUAAAGAUUAUUGAUAUUUGGUAAAAUACAAAAUAGGUUUUCCUUUCCAUCUGCAUAUUUUGCAGACAGUACAAAAUAUACAUUUUUGCUAAGUUAAUUCAGUCCAUAAAUUUCUUACCAAGGAAAUGAAAAGAGAUCUUUAAACUAAAUGUUCUGCAUAACUUAGAUAUAGUACUCCUAAAAAGGUGAUAUGAUUUCUGUGAUAUUGAGGUUUUUCUUAAAUAUUUUAGUUUUUAGUUUCCUCAAAAUGUUUAGAAUCAUUUAAUGAGAUUUUUUAAAAAUUUACUGAUAUGAGAGAAUAUAGACUUCUGAGACUGAGUUACAAAAUGGGCAUUAUUGUUGCCUGCCUAAGAAAACAUUAAAAUAUUGUUCUGGCAUAAAACAAAUUUUUAAGUGUGGAACUAGAAUAAUGCUUUUUAACUAAUAAAUGUAGUACAAAUGAAAAUAAAGAAAACAAAAAUUUGUUAUGUUUUUCCAGAACUGAUGAUCAUUAAAGAAGCCACAUGUUGCAAAGCUAAGGAUGAACUGAAUAUACUUGUGCUGUUUGUUUUUAUUGCAUACUAUAAAUAAACAAAGAAAAAAAGACAGAUUCUUUUGUAAAUAAGACUGCUUCAGAAUUCAAAAGAAUGCCACCAGAUAACGGCAGUGAAAUUGAGCAUAACUUAAACACUUCCUUACUAAAACUGACUCUUAAAAUUUAACUUUCAUAUUUUCAAAUUACUUGUGUGUUUUGAAACCAUUUGUCUUCAGGGGAAAAAAACAAGCCUUAAAUUAUUGUGACAUCCAAUUUAUUUCAGAGUACUUUUUAAAUACAGGAUAUUUUAAACAUGGGCAGUUAUGCAAUGAACUUAUAGAUCAAAAGAACCAAUUGACAAACAGAACAGCUAGCCUACCAACACCACCAAAGUGGGUGCUAGUUUUUGGAGAGCUGUAAAGUAAUUCAUGUACAUCUGAAAACUUGAAAUUACUAGUAAGUAAAAUCAUAAGCAUCUAAGACUCAGAUGUUUUUGUUGCUGUCAUCACAGUGGUCUUAUCCCAGAAAGUAGUGCCACUGGAUAAAAGCAGCUCUGCAAGUCAGCAUAACAUUUAUGAUCGACUAUAUUUAAUUUCAUCACACUAUAUGAAAGAAAAGGAAGCCUUUUUUAAAGACUACAUUUAGUUCAAAGAAGAAUUAUAGAAAAUGGAAAGAAAAGAGGAAACAUCCUAAUGUACUAUUAGAAAAAAGAAACAUGCCUUUGCUGUUUUUUUAAAAUUCAUUUAAUAGUCAUUUAAUUGAUAUAGUCCUUUAAAAAUUCUUAUAUUCGUGUAUUUUUUUUACUUUAUUAAAGUGAAGAAAGAUCAUAUUCUUAGAUAUGUUUCUGCAAAAUGACUAUUAUACAAUAACAUAGCCUACACAAUUUGAAUAUCAAAUAACUUGAAAACUGAAUAAAUUGGUACAGCAGAGAACAAAAACAUGAUAAAAUGGUUACAUUUUUCUCACAUAUUUAUUUGUUGGAUAAGUCUUAUUAGUUAUUAAUUGCUACUGUUAAGUAGUCCUAUCCUUGUUUUGAUCAAUACUGGUUAUAUAACAAAAAUAAAAAGUACACAGCAACGUUCAAUUUUUAAUAAAUACUUAUUGAUUUUUCAUGUUAAAAUAUAACAUUAUUUACUAUAUAUAAUAUAUUCUUUUACUGUUGUACUGACCUAGGUGUGUUCCAGGUUGGGUCUUUAAAAAUCUGGUUAUUCUAUACCUGUGGAAUGCAGGAAGUCUCUCCCUGGUCUUGCCCCUCUCCCAGCAGUAGGCUUGGGUUGCUUGUUGCUAGGUUACUGAUUGCUAGGCUCUUCUCUUUGGUCCAGAUCCAAUCUCAGUCUUAUUUUUCUUAAUAUUUCUACCACUCCUUUCUGUGAUCUCUGUUGUGUGUGGUUCAUCUUAAGCAGAAAAGAGUUUUGCUAUUUCUCACUUAGCGAUAGAGAUCUCUGCUUGGUAUUAGGAUAGGGUCUUAGAUAUACUUAGGCACAUUAUUAACUUGGUUUUGAGAUUCUUUGGAGAAAGAAUCAUAUAGUGUUUUCAUUAUUUCAUAUAGUGUUUCUUUAUUGAUGUGCUUGUCAUUUAAUCUCUCAACAAUGCUGAAUUACUAAUUAUUUUCUUUGCUCUUACUUAGUCAUUUGAAGAACCAGUAUUUAAGUGUUUUGUCUUCUUUUUAAUUUUUCUAAAUCCUUUCUAGGAUUUGUGUCUUUUCCUCAAGCAAAUCAAUUGUUUGAACAUUUUUAUGUUCAGUGACUAUCCUUUCCUCUACAUUAAUUAGCUGCCAUCUAUACUGUCUUUUUCUUCUUAGGAUAUUUUCUUAACAUUUCAUUUGCUGUCAGUAAACAUCCUAAACAUAAAAUUAUCCAUUGAUUACUCAUUUCUUCAGUGACAUAUCUCACUGAAGGGUUGAAAAAGAUGCUUCUUUUUGUUUUAUUUUUUUUACUUGCAAUGACAUAUUCCAUGAUUUAUCACUUGAACUGAGAUGUCUAAGCUCAAUACUAGACUUUGUAUUAUUAAACUUAAAAACAAAUAAUUUAAUGGUUCCUACUCAUUCUUUGAAACAAAUUAUUUCAACCAGUAUACUAAUGAAGCUUAAAAAAUAUGCAAAUAUGAAAAGCUAAAAUAAUACAUGUGCAAUCCUUUGGAAAGUAGAAAAUUUUAAUAGUUUUUUGAUAUAAGAUAUUAGAAUCAAUGUUCCAAAUCACAAAGGCAUUAUUUAGAUUUAUUUAUUAUUUUUAAAACUAAAAUUCUCAUAAGAUUUUAGAUAGAUUUAAUAUUAUUAUGAAAAUCAAGAAGAAAUUAUUGAAGAAAAGUAAAUGUUCCACAUAGAACUACUACAUAAAUAUUUUCAAAAUAAUUAACUGGUCAGUUCUGUGUGUUCUUAAAUCAAUCAAGUUUCAACAAAAAAAUUAACUUGUUUUUGGUUAUCUUAGUUAAAUCGAUUAUGUUAUUUUGAGAGUGUGAUCAUAUGUAAUCAUAGCCUAAGCAAUGAUUUUUUUGUGUGUGUGUGUAUGUGUAUGUGAAAUUGUAAAGAGGUUCCUUAAUGACAAGAAUCAAUACUAGUAUGGUAUAGUUUUUAUCUAGAAAUUAUUUGCCAUGCAAUAAUUUUAUAUUAAUAGAUAAAUUGUAUAGUUAGAUUUGUUAUCCAACUUUUCAAAAAUAAAAAUGAAUGAUAAACCUGAGGGUUACCUAAACUUAUGUACGAAUUUCAAAUUUGGGGAUUAUACUUCAAAAACAGUUAUGUUAUAUUUUAUUCUAUUCACUCCUGAUUUUUCAUUGAUCUUUUAAAAAUAAGACAUAAUUUGAGAUUCUGGCGAGGUUAAGCAUGGCAAAAUUGUAAGAUUAGUUAAUAACAGAUGUUAUGUGCUAAUUUUCUUGGCACAUAGUAUAAACUUUAUUAUUAAAUACCCUAACAAAUACAUAUGUAUUUACCCUGCUCAACUCAAAUAUAUUCCAAAUUAUCCUUAAUGUUUAGUAUCAGUGGUUUACCAAACCUGAUGAAAUUUUCCAUGCCUGAAAUCACUGAAGAUUGAAAACAGCCUAUCAUUGAUUCUUUGGCUCACAUGUAUGGAUACCAGCCACAUGCCAUAACUCUUUCUAGACACCCUCUUUCACUCAGUUGUCAGCUCACGCCAUUCUUAGAAAAUUUGACUUGGGAAAAGGAAUCAUGCAGACCUUGUACACAGGUUAGGGGAGCUAUUUAGACAGGCAGUUCAUCAGGGGUGAACUCCAGAUGGACAUUUCUUCAUUGGCUCAAUGGAUUCCUGAAUGUGAGUGGGAUGCAAUUUCAGAUGGAUCAAAGUGGAACUUGUUAAUACAAAGGGCCUAGAUUAGGGUCUCAAACUUUCUUUAGUGUAAUCACAUUUAUAUUUGUCUAAUAUAUUGCAGUAUGUGGAGCAACAAAAGAUGGCCACUUAUAGUGAAAGAUAGCAGAAUGCUUACUAUACAAAUAGCACUGUUGGUUGAAUACUUCUGAGAAGUGGUAUUUAGUCAUCGUUUUGUGAUGCUGUGGGAGGUGGCAGAACCAUUAGGGAGGAGAGCCCAUUUGAAGGAGGUUAGGUCAUUGGGGGUGUUCCCUUGAAGGAUAUAUUGGAACCACGACCCCUUUCUCUCUUCGAUUCCCAGUCACUAUGAGGUGAGCAGCAUUCUUCACCACAAGCUCCCACCACAGGCCAGUGCUGCUCAUUGCAGACCUUGAGGCAAAUGAGCCUAAUGACCAUGGACUGAAACUUCUGCAACCAUGAGAGAAAAUAUACCUUUCCUUCUUCUAUAUUGUUUAUCUCAGUUAUUUUCUCAGUGAUGGAAAGCCAACUAACAAAUCAAUCUAAAAAAAUCUGCUACUCUGAUUCUUAUAUUCCAGAUUGAGUAUUUAAAAAUUAAGGAGAACUCCUAGAAUUAAAGAUGAUUCCCAUAAACACCUCCAACUGAUAAAAGAUAGUCUGCUUAAAAAAAUAUCCAUAAAUUAUACCUUUUAAUGAAGAGUUCUGUGAAAAUUCUUAUUUAGAUCAGAAUCCUAGUUGGAGAUUUACACAGAAAGAUGUACACACUUUUUUGUUGCAUAGUGUACCACAUAUUUCACCCAAAUUCUAAUCUUGAUUUCUACUUUUAGUAUUCUAAUGGCAUAAGUGAUCCUUUAGCUUUAACAUUAAUGCAGGCAUAUGGAGCCAGGUUUACAAUCAAAUCUUAUCUCAACAGUUCUGAGAUUUGGGACUGAGAUCCAUUCCUUUAUCUGGAAAGAAGAAUUAAAGUAUUUAGGUCUGAUGGUUAUCAUAGACCCAAAUAAGAAAAUAUGUGUGUAUUUUCUGCUAUAUAAUAAGCACUUGAUAAAUGGUAUUAUUACUAUCCCUAUGGUUGUUAUUACCACGAUAAUUUUCAGGAUUAGACAUUCCUGUUAGAACAUUAAUUGAUACCUAUCUUCAUCACCAUCCCUUAGAGAUGAUUUUUGUCAGCACAAACUAUUUAGCCAAAUCAAUAUUAACAAAAUUGCCAGAAGCAUAUCUAAUCCACAUUAUAUCCCAAAUGGUCAAUGAGACCAUUGUCAGGCUAUUGCCCCUUACAUAAAUGACAUCACUUCUGAAUCAAGAUUUUGAUUUUCAACUCUAAAUCUUUUCACCAGAUCAUACCAGAUUUUCUCCACUUCUUUGCUCUCAGAUGCUCCUGAGCAAUGUUCUCACACACUCUUUCAGGCCAUCAGGGACAGAACCCAUACAGGGAUAAGGUCCCCAGAGAACCAGUGCCACCUCUGACAAAGGCAAAUUGUGUCUAAAGAUUUCACUACAUGGGGCUGAGGAGAAGACAUUAUCUUAUGAGAAAAUUGAAAUUCAAUGCUAGGUGGACUCUCUCAUCAAGUUCACAGCUCAAAAGAAGUAGGCAAUUGCCGCAGUCUGGCUGGGCACAAAUGCCGCAGUCUGGCUGGGCACACAAUCACGAGCCACCACACAGCUUGUAGAUUCAAACAGCAACNAGAUAAUCGUGUUUAGGGCGUUCCCAGUUUAGGUUCCAGGUUUAAGGUUUAAGAUUAUUCCUGCUGGGAAUAGGGCGUAUCCUGCUGCCUGAGUUCCCCUUGAGUUCUCACGGGAUUCAGACAGCAUAUUUUGGAGAUAGAAGCCCAGUGGAGGUGGAUUUGGGCAGAGAACGUGGAUUUCCCCAGAACGUGAUUGUAGACGGCUGGUGUGAGUUCGGGAAUAAAGAGUUGCUGUUUGAAUCUACAAGCUGUGUGGUGGCUCGUGAUUGUGUGCCCAGCCAGACUGCGGCAUUUGUGCCCAGCCAGACUGCGGCAGGCAAUGAGAAAAUUCAAGUGACAAGAAUCUAGGCCUAAUACCAGAGAAAGACCUAAAGAAAUUCCCUGACAUAAUCAGCUGAUCAGUUCUCAUUGCUUUUACUUUCAACUUGAAAUUUUUCUUUAGUUGCCUGCCCUAGAAAAUUCAAGAUUUUCUCCUUCUCUACCACUUCUGUGAAAUCCUUCCAAACCAUUAAAGCCAUAGUCAAAAUGAAUGCUUCCUAUGGUUAAUAUUCUCGUUUUUAAUCUCAUAACUUUUAUAUUUGCCUCAAUAUUAAUUUAUCAAGUAUUUAUUAGUUCAUUAUUUCUAUUAUCCCAUGAAUGCUUAUGAGUAUGGUAUUGAGCAGAGAUUUGGUACCAAUCCUCACGAAGGAAGAAACCAAAUAACAUAUACAAGUACAUAUGUAAAUUAAAAAAAAAAUCAGUCUCCCAUGGAUUGUGGUAACAAAACAAUUUUGAUAAUAUUAAUUUUAAUCAGGGAUUUUGAAAACACUACACCAAGGAUUUGAUUUGGUACCUUAGUAAAGAGACAGACCCAGUGAAGAAAAGUGCUGGGUGUGGUGGUGCAUACCUGUAAUCCUAGCAGCUCAAGAGGCUGAGUCAAAAGGAUCACAAGUUCAAAGUCAGCCUCAGCAAUGGUGAGGUGCUUAGCUACUCAGUGAGACCCUGUCUCUAAAUAAAAUACAAAAUAGGACUGGAGAUGUGGCUCAGUGGUUGAGUGCCCCUGAGUUCAAUCCCCAGUGCCCCCCCCCCACCAAAAAAUAGUUCUGAGAGCAUUGAAUGUAACAUAUAACAGGAAGAAAAAAACCAGGAUACAUGAAGCAUAAUGCACAUAGAAAAGAUUACUACAAAAUCAGAUGAAGGAGAAGAACAGUGGUCAGAUAAAGUCAUUUAUUAUAAAGAAUAGUAAUAUUUAAAAUUUAUUUUAAAAUGUGAUGUAAAUCACUAGUGGAUAUAUAAUAGGAGAGUUUUAUAAUUGAUUCAUAUGGGGUGGGAGACUUAGGAAUGCAAUGCAAGAAUGAAACUACUGAGGACAGUUUAAGACUAUUACAAUAGUCAACUGUUACAAUGUUGCCUAGGCUGGGGAGAGACUCCUGGAACUAAUGGAUUCCUAGGACUUACUGUUAUAGCAGUGAGUAAAAAGGGAGACUCAAGCCUAGACCUGGGCAGUGACUUGAACAACUAAGUGGAUACUUUCAGCUUGGAUUAUUGAAUUGAAUUAUAAUAAAGCAAUUGAAUUAUAAUAAAGCAAUUGGUCAAAUGAAUUAAAAUAAUUAACAUUGUUCAUUACUAGUUUGUUUUACAGCAUGUUUAUAAGAGUGGCCUCUAAAUUUAUUUUAAGUCCUUGAAAGAAUUAAUAUAAUAUGUAACAAGACUGUAAACAGGUUGAAUAUGCAUAUGGAGAAAAGCACAUUGCUUCGGGUGGUUAGAUUAAAAGCAAACACAUUGUCAAAAGAAAAUGGUAUGGAGCAGAACAAAAAGAGAAUAAGAAGGAAUGAAAGUCUCAAGUCUGUCUUUAAAAUCCAAGGUAUCGUAGAGAUUUGUAGGCUAUCACAGGUGUUUAAAAAUUCCAACACACUUUAAGAGACUGGCUUAUAAUCAUGGAAGCUAGAUGGAAUCAAAUAUUAUGUCAAGACACAGAAAUAAAAGUUCUUACCUUAAAUUAAGACUGUUACAAACUAGGAUCAAAAUCGGUGCAUUUAAUAGUAGAAACUCCCAAUAGACACUGGCUGAGCUCAAGUGAUUUCACCAGAGAGUGCCAGGACAAUUAACCAAGCAGGAUUUAAGGAAUGUGAAGCAGUAUUGUUCUAAAUGUGCAACUGUUGUUAAAACAAGACUUUUUGUUUCUUUGGUUGAUACAUGAGAUAGCAGAGAAUUAUAUUUAAAGCUAUUGUGAUUUCCUUUUGGCAAUACAGCAUAAGGUUAGAGAAAGUAUUUUGAAGAUAAAGCAAUAUGGAUUUGAAGCAUCAAAAUAUAGUCCUGGACAAAUAUCCUUGGAUAAAUUACUUUCCUUGUGCAAUGGUUUAUUGUGCUUACUUUCUAGAGAUUUUGUGAAUUUUUACUAAGAUUACACAUUUGUGGUGUUUAUCAUAGUGCCUGAUGCACAGAAAGAAUUAAACAAUAUGACUUUUUAAUAAUGAUUAUCACUAUUUUCUUAUGUUUGUGGCAAGGGUAACAAAGGAAGCCUUACAUGUUAUGUACUUUGCAGAGCACCUCUGGGAAAUUAGAGCAAGUACAAGGAUUUCUAUUGCCCUGAGGACUCCAAAAUAUCCAAGGAGAAAGGUUAUUAAGGGAAAGAGGAAAGAGAUGCGGGUCACCAACUUCUCUAAGAUUAACUUUCCAAAAGAAAACAACACUGCAUACAAAUUUCUUAUAAAUAUUGUACCAGUAGGAAUAGGAAUUUCACUUUGAGAGAAGAGACCCUUCAGUCAGAAAAACUUAAACAGUAAGAAGUCAAAAUGAUUAUGAGUGUAAAAUUAAAGAAGUGGGAUUAAAUUCUAAUAUUUACAAUAUUAUAAUUAUUUACCAGGUGGUGUGAGAUAAAAGGAUCUCAGUGUCUACUUUUGGAAGAUCCAAAUAGAAGAAAUGAGAGCUGAUGUGCAGGAUGACAGGUUAGGGCAGGACAGGGAGCUGAAAUAAGUAAGAGAAUCCCCUAAAGCUGCAGAAGUAGAAAAAAAGAGCAUUGACAAGAAGACAAAGUCACAUCAAGCACAGGAGAAACCUGAGCUCCAGAGCCACAAAUCUCAAUAAUCACCUUUAGGAACACACUCAACAAAAUGGAAGAGAAGGAUGCUUCACAGCCUAUUUCAUGAGGUGAGAAUGGCUCUUAUAAGAGACUGAAAAAUGGACAAGAAGAAAAAUCGAUCAUAAGCCAAUAAUCCUAGUAAACAUAGGUGCAAACAUCCUUAUAAUAUAAAUAAAACAUUAAAACUAUGAACAGUAGGAAAGAUUAAUAUAUCAUGGCCAAAUAAAAUUCAUCCCCAAAAUGGAAUAUUGGCUCAAUAUUUGAAAAUCAAUUGAGAUAUUCAAUCAUUUAGGCUAAGUAGAGAUAAAAAGUACACUGUCAAGUCAACAAGUUCAGAAAAUCAUUUACAAUAUUUAAAGAAGAAAACAAAACUAUCUUCACUUGUAUAUGACAUAUUGUUCAUAUAGAAAAUCUGAGGAAAUCUAUGAAAGCCCAUGAAAUUGCAUAUAUAAAGAUGAACAAUAUAAACUUGAUAUAAAAUUAAUUUUUGUUUUGAUAUGCUUAUGAAAACAAUUGGAGAUUUUAGAAAAAAAUUAGAAAAAUGUAUUUACAAUGAUAUUUAUAAUAGUAUUCAAAAACAAAAGGAACACUGUUAGAAAUGAAGUUAAUGAAAGGCAUGUGCACCUGAAUUAAAAACUUUUAAAUAUUGCUAAAAUAAUUAAGGAAGGUUGAAUAAGUGAAUAAAUAUGUCAGAUUUUGUACUAUUUACCAAUAUUGGUAAAUAGAUUUAACAUAAUUCCAAAACAAAUCCCAAUAGUUUUAAUGUAUUUAAUUGUGACAAACUGAUUUUACAGUUUCUGGGAGUUUCAAGAUUCCUGCACUAACUAUAUCAAAUUUGGAAAAAAAAAAAAGUAUUGGGUCAAGAUAUAAACAUGAACCUUGUUUCUAAAAUCACACAAUAAAUAAAAUUUAAUUUUAAACGAAUAACAGACUUAAC
rnacentral:lncRNA from 1 species